UUGAACGCUGGCGGCAGGCCUAACACAUGCAAGUCGAACGGUAACAGGAAGAAGCUUGCUUCUUUGCUGACGAGUGGCGGACGGGUGAGUAAUGUCUGGGAAACUGCCUGAUGGAGGGGGAUAACUACUGGAAACGGUAGCUAAUACCGCAUAACGUCGCAAGACCAAAGAGGGGGACCUUCGGGCCUCUUGCCAUCGGAUGUGCCCAGAUGGGAUUAGCUAGUAGGUGGGGUAACGGCUCACCUAGGCGACGAUCCCUAGCUGGUCUGAGAGGAUGACCAGCCACACUGGAACUGAGACACGGUCCAGACUCCUACGGGAGGCAGCAGUGGGGAAUAUUGCACAAUGGGCGCAAGCCUGAUGCAGCCAUGCCGCGUGUAUGAAGAAGGCCUUCGGGUUGUAAAGUACUUUCAGCGGGGAGGAAGGGAGUAAAGUUAAUACCUUUGCUCAUUGACGUUACCCGCAGAAGAAGCACCGGCUAACUCCGUGCCAGCAGCCGCGGUAAUACGGAGGGUGCAAGCGUUAAUCGGAAUUACUGGGCGUAAAGCGCACGCAGGCGGUUUGUUAAGUCAGAUGUGAAAUCCCCGGGCUCAACCUGGGAACUGCAUCUGAUACUGGCAAGCUUGAGUCUCGUAGAGGGGGGUAGAAUUCCAGGUGUAGCGGUGAAAUGCGUAGAGAUCUGGAGGAAUACCGGUGGCGAAGGCGGCCCCCUGGACGAAGACUGACGCUCAGGUGCGAAAGCGUGGGGAGCAAACAGGAUUAGAUACCCUGGUAGUCCACGCCGUAAACGAUGUCGACUUGGAGGUUGUGCCCUUGAGGCGUGGCUUCCGGAGCUAACGCGUUAAGUCGACCGCCUGGGGAGUACGGCCGCAAGGUUAAAACUCAAAUGAAUUGACGGGGGCCCGCACAAGCGGUGGAGCAUGUGGUUUAAUUCGAUGCAACGCGAAGAACCUUACCUGGUCUUGACAUCCACGGAAGUUUUCAGAGAUGAGAAUGUGCCUUCGGGAACCGUGAGACAGGUGCUGCAUGGCUGUCGUCAGCUCGUGUUGUGAAAUGUUGGGUUAAGUCCCGCAACGAGCGCAACCCUUAUCCUUUGUUGCCAGCGGUCCGGCCGGGAACUCAAAGGAGACUGCCAGUGAUAAACUGGAGGAAGGUGAGGAUGACGUCAAGUCAUCAUGGCCCUUACGACCAGGGCUACACAUGUGCUACAAUGGCGCAUACAAAGAGAAGCGACCUCGCGAGAGCAAGCGGACCUCAUAAAGUGCGUCGUAGUCCGGAUUGGAGUCUGCAACUCGACUCCAUGAAGUCGGAAUCGCUAGUAAUCGUGGAUCAGAAUGCCACGGUGAAUACGUUCCCGGGCCUUGUACACACCGCCCGUCACACCAUGGGAGUGGGUUGCAAAAGAAGUAGGUAGCUUAACCUUCGGGAGGGCGCUUACCACUUUGUGAUUCAUGACUGGGGUG
rnacentral:rRNA from 1 species